GAUGAAGAACGUAGCGAAAUGCGAUAAGUAAUGUGAAUUGCAGAAUUCAGUGAAUCAUCGAAUCUUUGAACGCACAUUGCGCCCGCCAGUAUUCUGGCGGGCAUGCCUGUUCGAGCGUCAUUACAACCCUCAGGCCCCCGGGCCUGGCGUUGGGGAUCGGCGGAGCCCCCCGUGGGCACACGCCGUCCCCCGAAUGCAGUGGCGGUCCCGCCGCAGCUUCCAUCGCGUAGUAGCUAACACCUCGCGACUGGAGAGCGGCGCGGCCACGCCGUAAAACACCCAACUCUUCUGAAGUUGACCUCGAAUCAGGUAGGAAUACCCGCUGAACUUAAGCGUAUCAAUAAGCGGAGGA
rnacentral:misc_RNA from 1 species